CGCUGGCGGCGUGCCUAAUACAUGCAAGUCGAACGGUCUUUCUAUGGAAGCUUGCUUCCACUGAGAAGAUAGUGGCGAACGGGUGAGUAACACGUGGGUAACCUGCCCAUAAGAGGGGGAUAACAUCCGGAAACGGGUGCUAAUACCGCAUAGUUUUCUUGAUCGCAUGAUUGAGAAAGGAAAGACGGCCUUUGUGCUGUCGCUUAUGGAUGGACCCGCGGCGUAUUAGUUAGUUGGUGAGGUAAUGGCUCACCAAGACGAUGAUACGUAGCCGACCUGAGAGGGUGAUCGGCCACAUUGGGACUGAGACACGGCCCAAACUCCUACGGGAGGCAGCAGUAGGGAAUCUUCCGCAUGGACGAAAGUCUGACGGAGCAACGCCGCGUGAGUGAAAGAAGGUUUUCGGAUCGUAAAACUCUGUUGUCAGAGAAGAACAAGUUGGAGAGUAACUGCUCCAGCCUUGACGGUAUCUGACCAGAAAGCCACGGCUAACUACGUGCCAGCCGCCGC
rnacentral:rRNA from 1 species